AUUAUGUGUAUUUUGACUCUUUCUCGCUCUGUAGGUCAUAACUUGAGCUCUGGAUAUCGGAUUGGCACAUAUGAGCCAGCGUUGGAAAGCUAAAAAUCCGAGCUACAAUUUUUGUGUUGGAAGAAAAGACCAAUUUCGAGCGUUUCUGGGCCUAAAUUGCAGAUUUUGUAAUAUGGACUUUUGUAAUAAUUUUAAUUAGUGGAUCACUUGUUUUUAAACCCUAAACCCUAAAGCCCAAUAUCAAG
rnacentral:lncRNA from 1 species